rnacentral:rRNA from 1 species
UACAGAGGGUGCAAGCGUUAAUCGGAAUUACUGGGCGUAAAGCGUGCGUAGGUGGCCUGUUAAGUCAGGUGUGAAAUCCCCGGGCUCAACCUGGGAACUGCAUUUGAUACUGGCAGGCUAGAGUGUGGUAGAGGGUAGUGGAAUUCCGCAUGUAGCGGUGAAAUGCGUAGAGAUGCGGAGGAACACCAGUGGCGAAGGCGGCUACCUGGACCAACACUGACACUGAGGCACGAAAGCGUGGGUAGCAAACAGG